rnacentral:rRNA from 1 species
GAUGAACGCUGGCGGCGUGCCUAAUACAUGCAAGUCGAGCGAACAGACGAGGAGCUUGCUCCUCUGACGUUAGCGGCGGACGGGUGAGUAACACGUGGAUAACCUACCUAUAAGACUGGGAUAACUUCGGGAAACCGGAGCUAAUACCGGAUAAUAUAUUGAACCGCACGGUUCAAUAGUGAAAGACGGUUUUGCUGUCACUUAUAGAUGGAUCCGCGCCGCAUUAGCUAGUUGGUAAGGUAACGGCUUACCAAGGCGACGAUGCGUAGCCGACCUGAGAGGGUGAUCGGCCACACUGGAGCUUAGACACGGUCCAGACUCCUACGGGAGGCAGCAGUAGGGAAUCUUCCGCAAUGGGCGAAAGCCUGACGGAGCAACGCCGCGUGAGUGAUGAAGGUCUUCGGAUCGUAAAACUCUGUUAUUAGGGAAGAACAAAUGUGUAAGUAACUAUGCACGUCUUGACGGUACCUAAUCAGAAAGCCACGGCUAACUACGUG